rnacentral:rRNA from 1 species
UACAGAGGUCCCAAGCGUUGUUCGGAUUCACUGGGCGUAAAGGGUGCGUAGGCGGUCGGGUAAGUCUGAUGUGAAAUCUCACAGCUUAACUGUGAAACUGCAUUGGAUACUAUCCGGCUCGAGGAAUGGAGGGGAGACUGGAAUACUUGGUGUAGCAGUGAAAUGCGUAGAUAUCAAGUGGAACACCAGUGGCGAAGGCGACUCACUGGCCCGAUACUGACGCUGAGGCGCGAAAGCGUGGGGAGCAAACAGG